AUUGAACGCUGGCGGCAGGCCUAACACAUGCAAGUCGAACGAGCGGCGGACGGGUGAGUAAUGUCUGGGAAACUGCCUGAUGGAGGGGGAUAACUCCUGGAAACGGUAGCUAAUACCGCAUACCAUCAGAUGUGCCCAGAUGGGAUUAGCUAGUAGGUGGGGUAAUGGCUCCCCUAGGCGACGAUCCCUAGCUGGUCUGAGAGGAUGACCAGCCAACCUGGAACUUAGACACGGUCCAGACGCCUCUGGGAGGCAGCAGGGGGGAAUAUUGCACAAUGGGCGCAAGCCUGAUGCAGCCAUGCCGCGUGUGUGAAGAAGGCCUUCGGGUUGUAAAGCACUUUCAGCGAGGAGGCGUUACUCGCAGAAGAAGCACCGGCUAACUCCGUGCCAGCAGCCGCGGGAAUUC
rnacentral:rRNA from 1 species